rnacentral:rRNA from 1 species
GAUGAACGCUGGCGGCGUGCCUAAUACAUGCAAGUCGAGCGAACAGAUAAGGAGCUUGCUCCUUUGACGUUAGCGGCGGACGGGUGAGUAACACGUGGAUAACCUACCUAUAAGACUGGGAUAACUUCGGGAAACCGGAGCUAAUACCGGAUAAUAUUUAGAACCGCAUGGUUCUAUAGUGAAAGAUGGUUUUGCUGUCACUUAUAGAUGGAUCCGCGCCGUAUUAGCUAGUUGGUAAGGUAACGGCUUACCAAGGCAACGAUACGUAGCCGACCUGAGAGGGUGAUCGGCCACACUGGAACUGAGACACGGUCCAGACUCCUACGGGAGGCAGCAGUAGGGAAUCUUCCGCAAUGGGCGAAAGCCUGACGGAGCAACGCCGCGUGAGUGAUGAAGGUCUUCGGAUCGUAAAACUCUGUUAUUAGGGAAGAACAAAUGUGUAAGUAACUGUGCACGUCUUGACGGUACCUAAUCAGAAAGCCACGGCUAACUACGUG